rnacentral:tRNA from 1 species
GGGGAUUUAGCUCAGUGGCAUAAGCACCUGCCUUGCAAGCAGGGGGUCAUGAGUUUGAUCCCCAGUCCCUG